ensembl:rRNA 5S_rRNA 5S ribosomal RNA
AUCUACGGCCAUACCACUGGGAUCCAGGAAGUUUAGGAUGGUCCAUCCUAGCCAGUACUUGGUUGGGAGACCACCUGGAAAUACUGGGUGCUGUAGGGU